AAAACUACCCUAUAACAUAUUUCCCUCCGCUCAAAUAUGUUUGUCCUUAAACAUUAAAAAACAAAAGAUUAUCACAAAGAAUGCAAUUGAUUUAAAAAGAAAAUACAAUAUAAAAUCUACUUUGAUAAUAAGUCAUUGUGAUUACAUAAAACAGAAUAACACAUAGAACAUUUCAUAUUUGAAAAGAAGAUAAAAGACAGACACUCAUCCUCCCACAC
rnacentral:lncRNA from 1 species